rnacentral:rRNA from 1 species
CGGCGAACGGGUGAGUAACACGUGGGUGAUCUGCCUCGUACUUCGGGAUAAGCCUGGGAAACUGGGUCUAAUACCGGCUAUGACCUUCGGAUGCAUGUCUGAGGGUGGAAAGAUUUAUCGGUACGAGAUGGGCCCGCGGCCUAUCAGCUUGUUGGUGGGGUAAUGGCCUACCAAGGCGACGACGGGUAGCCGGCCUGAGAGGGCGACCGGCCACACUGGGACUGAGACACGGCCCAGACUCCUACGGGAGGCAGCAGUGGGGAAUAUUGCACAAUGGGCGAAAGCCUGAUGCAGCGACGCCGCGUGAGGGAUGACGGCCUUCGGGUUGUAAACCUCUUUCGACAGGGACGAAGCGCAAGUGACGGUACCUGUAGAAGAAGCACCGGCCAACUACGUGCCAGCAGCCGCGGUAAUACGUAGGGUGCGAGCGUUGUCCGGAAUUACUGGGCGUAAAGAGCUUGUAGGCGGUUCGUCGCGUCGUUCGUGAAAACUUGGGGCUCAACCCCAAGCUUGCGGGCGAUACGGGCGGACUAGAGUACUUCAGGGGAGACUGGAAUUCCUGGUGUAGCGGUGAAAUGCGCAGAUAUCAGGAGGAACACCGGUGGCGAAGGCGGGUCUCUGGGAAGUAACUGACGCUGAGAAGCGAAAGCGUGGGUAGCGAACAGGAUUAGAUACCCUGGUAGUCCACGCCGUAAACGGUGGGUACUAGGUGUGGGUUUCCUUCCACGGGAUCCGUGCCGUAGCUAACGCAUUAAGUACCCCGCCUGGGGAGUACGGCCGCAAGGCUAAAACUCAAAGGAAUUGACGGGGGCCCGCACAAGCGGCGGAGCAUGUGGAUUAAUUCGAUGCAACGCGAAGAACCUUACCUGGGUUUGACAUACACCGGAAACCUGCAGAGAUGUAGGCCUCCUUGUGGUCGGUGUACAGGUGGUGC